rnacentral:rRNA from 1 species
CCCUUAGAUGUUCUGGGCCGCACGCGUGCUACACUGAUGCAUUCAACGAGCCUAGCCUUGACCGAGAGGUCCGGGUAAUCUUUGAAACUGCAUCGUGAUGGGGCUAGAUUAUUGCAAUUAUUAAUCUUCAACGAGGAAUGCCUAGUAAGCGUGAUUCAUCAAAUCGCGUUGAUUACGUCCCUGCCCUUUGUACACACCGCCCGUCGCUCCUACCGAUUGAGUGUGUUGGUGAGGAGUUUGGAUUGGCCUCGGAAGGUGGUUCGCCACCGUCCGUAGCUGAGAAGUUCUCCAAACCGCCCCACUUAGAGGAAGGAGAAGUCGUAACA